rnacentral:rRNA from 1 species
UGGGGAAUCUUCCGCAAUGGACGAAAGUCUGACGGAGCAACGCCGCGUGAGUGAUGACGGCCUUCGGGUUGUAAAGCUCUGUUAAUCGGGACGAAAGGCCUUCUUGCGAAUAGUUAGAAGGAUUGACGGUACCGGAAUAGAAAGCCACGGCUAACUACGUGCUAGCAGCCGCGGUAAUACGUAGGUGGCAAGCGUUGUCCGGAAUUAUUGGGCGUAAAGCGCGCGCAGGCGGAUUGGUCAGUCUGUCUUAAAAGUUCGGGGCUUAACCCCGUGAUGGGAUGGAAACUGCCAAUCUAGAGUAUCGGAGAGGAAAGUGGAAUUCCUAGUGUAGCGGUGAAAUGCGUAGAUAUUAGGAAGAACACCAGUGGCGAAGGCGACUUUCUGGACGAAAACUGACGCUGAGGCGCGAAAGCCAGGGGAGCGAACGGGAUUAGAUACCCCGGUAGUCCUGGCCGUAAACGAUGGGUACUAGGUGUAGGAGGUAUCGACCCCUUCUGUGCCGGAGUUAACGCAAUAAGUACCCCGCCUGGGGAGUACGACCGCAAGGUUG